UUUUUUUUUCUUUUUUUUUUUUGUAUCAGAACUAGAUUGUGAUCAGGUUAACUUUUUCUAUACCCCUCCCCACCUCGAGGCAUUAGAGCUUCAGAGUUUGGGGGUGGGGGGCAUCGUGUAAUAAUCAGAGGCCAGGUCAAGAGAGGCACUCGAAAGCCAACCAUUAAGAAGAGGUUUCCCAGAGUUCCCAUUGUGGCUCAGCAGCAAUGAAGCUGACUAUAUCCAUGAAGACACGGGUUUGAUCCCUGGCCAUGCUCAACAGGUUAAGUAACCAGCGGUGCCAUGAGCUGUGAUGUAGGUCACAGCUGCAGCUCUGAUUCAACCCCUAGCCUGGGAAUUUCCAUGUGCUAUUCCCUAAAAAAAGAAAAAAAAAAAAGAGAGGUUCCCCCAGAACCUGGCCUCUCCCCUCACCUCUUCACAGGAUUUUUCAGUUACUAUGAAAUUCACAGGAUUUUUCAGCUACUAUUUCAGUUACUAUGGUUUUUAGAGACAGUGGAAGUAGGUGCUGGAAUCAAUCUUCUCCUUGCCUUUAGUUUCUGCAAACUCCAAUCCAUCCCCUGCACCAUAGCCAGAAGUAUUCUUUACAUUGUAAAUUUGACAAAGUAAUUUACUGCCUAAAACCUGUAAGUGUCUACCAGGUACCCUCCAAGACAGCAUUCACAAUCCUUGAGAAGGCUUUCAAAUCACUUGGCAAGCCAGCCCAAACAUACUCUCAUGCUUUAUCUCUGACCACACCUUCAUAGAGCGCUGCCAGAUUAAAUUAAGGACAAAGAGGGGAAAGAAAAAAAAAAGGCACACAGAAAACACACAAAACAGCUUUCCUUACAUUACCUGAGUCUAUGGAGCUCAGGUAUAAUCUGCAUUAAACUCAUUGCCUUUCCACCACCAUUCUAUUAAAUAUGGAUACCCCGAACGCUUGACUUUGCACUGGAUCAUCAACUUUUAAGGAUGGAAAAGAUGCCACGGAUUUUUCCGUGUUUUGUGAAACUCUGCACCUACUCAGUCUUUAGAAAUUCAGCUUUUUGAAACAUCUUUUUGAAAGAUGACCUGAAACUCCUCCUUGUCAUUAUUUUCCCACAUUCUUCUGAAGCUCGUGUUAGAUUCAGUAAGCAUGUAAUGAAUGCUGAGGCUUUUAUGCCCACCUAUUACUGGGGCUGAAAUGGAUUCUGAGUCAAAUCCUGAUCUGCUGUAGCCAGAGUGGGUGUUUAAGAGUGUUAUAUCAUGCUAUGGUAUCUGUGUUUCUAGGCCAACGGCAACCUGCUUUCACCUACACUCAAUUUGGCAAGUAUACAUCCAUUAAAUAAGAGUGGUCCUUGAACUUCACUUUCAUUCCCCAAGAGAAUCAAAGCCCAGAAAGCAAGAAACAUACAGAGAGGCUGACAACCUCAGCACCUCAAGCAUUUGGUAAAGACCGUGCUGGCGGACGAGCUCUAUAGAUGUGACAAAGCACACUCUUGCCAAACAAGCUCUGAAAACCAAGUAAGCAGAACUGGGACACGCUCUGUAACCAGUGUAAUGAAGGGCCCUGGGAUAAACAGGUGACCGUCUCAAGCCCAGAUACUUACAAUGAUGAAAGGAGAAACAUCUAUUCAAAGGAGAGAAAAGGCAAUUCCCAAAGUCAUGCCGAGCUAAGGAAAGACAUACAAAGUAGUAUCAGAAUUCCACAAUAUGCUACAGAAACUGUGUCGCAUAUGAUUAUGCUCAAGUCCAAGCCACAGGAUACAGUUCUCACUCUCCAGUUGUGACCUUCUCGAUUAAUCUUUGUCGACAUCUUCAUAAAAUCUUACAUGUUGUAAUAGACAUCUGCACUUUGCCGAACGAUAGAAAAAUCAAAUUUCUGGUCCAGAUUCUGAAAAUGUAUUAUAAUGGUCAGACCAGUACAUGACAGCAAUUCUACCCUUGGAUAUAAGGGAAGAUAAUAUUGCACAUUUCAUUCAUUCAACUCAUUCAACAAAUGUGUAUUGAAUCCAUGAUAAAUGACAAGUGCAUCUCUGAGUGCUGAGGAGAUACUACUAAACAAGAUCAGAAAAUAAAAUAAAUUGUUAUCCUAAUGGGGCUGUCAGAUAAUGAUGAGACAACAUUAUAAAAGAACAAGAUAAUUUCAGACUGUGAUAAAGAGAAUGAAGCAGAGUAUAUUGAAGAAAGCAAUGACAGCAAAUUUAGCUUGUAGGGUCAGGGGAGAACAACUUAAGAAAUAACAUAUCCGGAGCCAUGGAGUAAAGAGGAUUGCUUGUAGUAUCAAGGCUCAAGAGGGCUUGAGACAGGCCCAACAACCGUCUCUCUAGCCCACAGUGAAAAGGAACGCCUGCAGUUUCCCAAGAGAGUUGUAGAAGAUAGCUAAGAGAGUAGAGCCAGGAGACUAGGGGAAAAAACAAAAAACAAACACACACACACACAUAAUAAUGAUAACUAACUUAACAUCUCUGCAGCACAGCAGAGAUGUCAAUGUCCACAGAUAUUCCUGUAGCAUCUCCUCACUCUGGUGACUUUGGGAGGCUGCUACUGUUAUCUGCAUUUUAUAGACGAGGAAAAUAAAGCUGAGGGCUGCUGCACAACUUUUCCUUGGUCCCACAACUAACCAAUGGCAAGGCAAGGUCUGAAACAGAAGUGAGCAAGUGAAAACCUUCAGACUGAAGCCAGCUGGCCCCUGCUUAUCCUCAAAAAGUUUUAAUGGAACACAGCAUAUUCAUUCAUUUACAUGUUGUCUGUGGCUGUAUUCACUCUACAUUAGCCGAGUUGAACAGUUGCAACAGAGACGCUAUGGCCUACAAAGCUUAAAUUAUUUACUAGCUGACUUAUUACAGAAAAAAACAAUGUCAACCUGUGAUUUAGGACAAAAGUUUCUUAAUCCUGAGCCCAGUUUGUCUUCCUGUACAUGAUGCUGUAUGAACCUAUUUCAUGUUUAUUGAUCUUGACCCCUAACUAGACAAUCAAAUCCUCAAGAGAAGAGUCAUAUUUUAAAUGCCACAUCAUGGGAAGAGGGAAGGCAUAUAGUAGACAUUCAUUGUCUUGCUUUGGUUUAAACUAAAAAGAAAACAUGGGAAUUGAACAAUAUGAAUUAUUUACAUAUAUAUUAAUUUAGUGGUUAAUCCAAAUAUUCACUCAUCAUAUGCUCCCUACUUCAUUCAAAUUACAUUUUCAGCACUGAGAAAGAAGGACUAGUCCAUAUUUCUGUGAUGAUAAUGACAGGUAAAAUUCCUAAUCAGUGUUUAUUUCAUGAUGAGUACUAUUUCUCCAUCACAGAGUAGAAAGAAGACUGAAAUGGAAAAUUAAAGUAAGCAACCCUAUGUCCUAGAAAAGUAUUACCUUGAACUCUUAAAUAUGCAAAUUCUUCACUAGGUAAUUAUUUCAAAUACUUAAGCAUGCCACAAAAUAUGAUCAGUAAUUAAAAAACAAACAAACAAACAAAAAUACUUGGAGAUCCCAUAGUGGCUCAGUGUGUUAAGAACAAAACAUAGUGUCCAUGAGGAUGUGGGUUCAAUCCCUGUCCUCAUUCAUUGGGUUAAGGAUCCAGCAUUGUCACAAGCUGUGGUAUAGGUCACAGAUCUGGCUUGGAUCCAGUGUUGCUGUGUUUGUGGUGCAGGCCUGCAGCUACAGCUCUGAUUUGACCCCUAGCUUGGCAACAUUCAUAGGCUCCAAGAGUGGCCUUAAAAAGAAAAAAAAUCCUUCCUGCAUUCAUUAUUAUUCAUCAAUCAAUAUUAUUAAAUACCAUCCCAGCUAUCUACUAUUAUAUGAAAAAUGUUCCCAGAACUUAAAGCUUAAAAAAUAAUUAUUUUUAAAUUCUUUCUCAUACUUUCAGUGCUUGACUAGUCUCAGCUUAGUGGUUACACUAGACAACGGGUGGGAUAGGAGUUAUACUGAAGGCUUCCUCACUCACAUUUCUGGUGGUGGAUGUUGGACAUGGGUUGUGAUCACAGCUGGGGCUGUCUGCAGGAACACCUACCCGUAGGCUUGCUGUGUUCCCUGAGCUUCCUUACAAUGUGGUGCAUGGGCUCCAAGAGCAACAAGCCAAGAGAAGGAAGUAGAAGUAUCCAGUUUCUUACAGCCUGGGCCUGAAAACUGGAAAAGUGUCCCUUUUGCUAUAAUCUAUUAGAAGAGCAAUUACAAAAUCCUAUUCAAUUAAAUAUGUCAGGGAUUUUAUUUAAACCUCCCUCCACAGUUUGGUAUCCAACCUCAAUUAUGAACAUUACUCUCAGAUUCAAAAUACAUUCACUCACUCCCAAGACCAACAAUGUUACCACAUCAUGUCAUUAGACCAGCCUUAAGGUCCAAAUCUUUUCAUUUAAAUUGCCUCCUUGAGUGUGGCACCUUAAGUACAGAUCCUUGGAUUCUGGAUUCUCUCAAUCUAAAAACAUGUAAGCUAAAAAGACAACUUGUCUGACCUCCAUAUCCUCUGUUAUUUUGUACAAAAUAACAUCUACUGAUUAUCCUUUAGCACAAGGGAGUGAAACAAAGUACAUAGGGAAGUCACUGGCCCAUAGCAGUUCUGAAAUUUAGCUAGACAAGUGUUCCUUGAUUCUCAAGUACUGUUCUUAGCUCUUCUCCGGGAGUGGUCCUCAUAGCCUUUGGUUCAGUACUUGGUUCAUAGCCUCUUUCUCCAAGUCAUUCAUCCUUUUCCAUAAGAAGACUGACUUUACAACUAACCCAUCUUCUUAACCUGUAUCCUAAUACCCUUUUGUUUUGGCAUUGCCUCUAUUUUCUUGAGUCCUAAAUGGUGGUGCUUCCAUUAAAAAACUUAUUUUAAAAUAUUUGUGAAUUUCUCAUUGCACCUGACAUAGUUUUCCUCCAUUAGAAUAAACCAAGUCAUGCAUUUCUGUUGGAAGAGCUCUUUUCUACUUCAGGCGUCCUGUGAAGCUGCUGUUGGAAAAUAGCCUGAGUAUUAUCAGAAGCCCAGUCGUUUAACAGAGAUACUCUGCAAGGUGUUAUCUUACAAAUCCUUGGAUGAGUGCUCUUUGUUGGAAGAUUUUUUAUGAGACACUGCUUAGAUUAGUCUCUGGUCAGAGAACAGCCUGCCCUGUAUUUGGUCUUUGUCCAAAGCCAUUCUUAAUUGUAGGCUCAUUUGCUGUCUGGAGAGGCUAAGAAUGGGAAACAGCUUAAAUGUGGAGAGAAGCAAGUCUUACUUCUUUACAUUUAACUGUUUGUUGCUUAGCUCAUUUCUCUCCACUUACAUUUUACCAAAACACUGGCUUAAAAUCUUUGAGAUCAUCAGCUACGUUUCCUAAGUAAUACAUUGCUAUAUGUGCCUGCAUUACCCACUACACAAUUUCUCUUUCUUCCAGCUUCUAAAAACAUCAUUCUUACUUGUCUCUAAACCCUUACUGAAAGAUUUCUUGAGGUAUUUUAGGCUUUUACUGGAAGUCCCCUGAAGGUCCUUCUAGCUUCUUCUCAUUUCUUAAUCCCAGGGUUAAUUGCCACACAUAUUUUCUAAUAUCAGGACUGUCCAUUUGAUUCUAAAAUCUAUGUCCAAUAUCUAUGUAUUUCUAACAAAUCACACUAAAGUGUGUGACUUAAAUAGCAUGAUUUUAUUAUUCUCUCUAGAAUUCUGUAUAUUGACUAGGCUCAACUAUAAAUAUGCCAUGCAGAAUUCUCUAUAUUGAUUCCGAGAUCUCUCGGACGAUGUCAUUUGAAAGUAUCUCCAUUUCAAGUCCUUGCAAAGGUCUCCACACUCACAAGUCUAGUGGUAGAUGUAGGCUGGGACUUCAGAUGAAGUUGAUUGUUGGAUUCUGGCCUCAUCAGGUAGCUUGGGGUUCCUUCAUGCAUGGCUGAGUUCUAAGAGGAAGUUUUCCGAGAAAGAACAUGUGGAAGGUACCUUUACCUUAGCCUCAGAGCCUGGAAACUCUUAUGUGCCAUUCAUGUCAUACUCUUUUGGUUAUCAGUAACAUAGCCCG
rnacentral:lncRNA from 1 species